UUUCCUCCUCCAUCGCGAUCAGCAGAGCUGCCACAGUCGCUACCAUUGGAUUCAAAGUUCGUUCGGUUGAAAACUUAUUUCCACUCAAAAGUAAGUUUUGUUUUUAAUUGCUCUGAAUAAACUCUAAAUUUUAUGACAAAUUUUGCUCAAAUAAUUUUUUUUUUUUUUUUGCAGUUUUCAAAGAAUUCCUCUGACUAAGCAUGAAGAUAAGAGAUCAGUUUGAUUUAAGGAGUAUAUAUGACAAAAACUACUCACCAGUAUUAUUUUGCCAACAAUGGUGUCCAAAAUAGUUGUUGUUCUGAUUAUCAUGCUACAAUUAACAGUAUUAUUUUGCUAACAAUGAUGUCCAAAAUAGUUGUUGUUUUGUUUAUC
rnacentral:lncRNA from 1 species